GACGAACGCUGGCGGCGUGCUUAACACAUGCAAGUCGAACGAAGAGCGACGGAAGCUUGCUUCUAUCAAUCUUAGUGGCGAACGGGUGAGUAACGCGUAAUCAACCUGCCCUUCAGAGGGGGACAACAGUUGGAAACGACUGCUAAUACCGCAUACGAUCUAAUCUCGGCAUCGAGGAUAGAUGAAAGGUGGCCUCUACAUGUAAGCUAUCACUGAAGGAGGGGAUUGCGUCUGAUUAGCUAGUUGGAGGGGUAACGGCCCACCAAGGCGAUGAUCAGUAGCCGGUCUGAGAGGAUGAACGGCCACAUUGGGACUGAGACACGGCCCAGACUCCUACGGGAGGCAGCAGUGGGGAAUCUUCCGCAAUGGACGAAAGUCUGACGGAGCAACGCCGCGUGAGUGAUGACGGCCUCCGGGUUGUAAAGCUCUGUUAAUCGGGACGAAAGGCCUUCUUGCAAAUAGUGAGAAGGAUUGACG
rnacentral:rRNA from 1 species